rnacentral:rRNA from 1 species
UACGUAGGGCGCAAGCGUUGUCCGGAAUUAUUGGGCGAAAGAGCUCGUAGGCGGUUUGUCGCGUCUGCUGUGAAAACCUGAGGCUCAACCUCGGGCUUGCAGUGGGUACGGGCAGACUAGAGUGCGGUAGGGGGUGACUGGAAUUCCUGGUGUAGCGGUGGAAUGCGCAGAUAUCAGGAGGAACACCGAUGCGAAGGCAGGUCAC